rnacentral:tRNA from 1 species
UCCCUGGUAGCUCAGAUGGUAAGAGCAUCUGCCUACAAUGCAGGAGACCUGAGUUCAAUCCCUGGGUUGGGAA